rnacentral:lncRNA from 1 species
AAUAGAUAUAAAUUUAAAGACUGAUAAAGUUCAAUAAACCCCAAAUAGACAACCUCAAAGAAAACCUUAUCAAGACGCACCAUUGACUGCUGAAACUAAAGAUUUUUUAUCUUGAAAGCAGCCAAAGAAAAGUGACUCAUAUAUAAAGUAACAAUUUGAAUAACUACCAAUUUAUCAUCAGAAACCACAGAGCCCAUUUGACUGGAAAGUUCUAAAGGCUGAAAGUAACUCAGUCUAGAAUCCUAUACCCAUUAAAACUAUCAGAAAUGCAGAUGAAAUAAAAGUAUUCUUAGGUGAAGGGAAACAGAAUUCUUAACCAGUGGAGCUGCUCAGAAAGAAAUGCGAAAGGAGGUUCUCCAGGUGGAAGGUGGAUAAUAGCCGAGAGGAUCUCAGAACUGCAGGCAUGAAGAAAGAGAUCAGCAGAAAUGCCGCCACUACAGCAUGGCCACUGACGGACCAGCAGUGUAGGUCUGCGCCCAGGAACUGAACCAGGGCUGCUGAAGUGGAGCACACUGAACUGAACCACCAGGCCACCAGGCCCGGCCCAGAGUCAAUUUUCCGUGUGUCCUACCACAAUUAAAAAAAGAGUUUCAUCUGGAAGGUGAGCUCAACACCGACAGACUGCCCCGGCGCGGCCACAGGGAGAAGUUCAUGAGGCUCUCAGACUGGAGCGGGCGAGCUGCUGCUUCAGUGGCUUCCUCUGCCAAGGACAGUGGAGCUUAACCCUUGCUCCCUUGAGGCUCCCUGGACUCUGGCUGGGGAUGGGAGACGCACAUAUGCCCCCAGGCUAAGAUGGCCUUGAUCAUCAUAGGCUGACUGGUAGUGAGCUCCUGUCUGCUGAAAUGGAGCGAUCUUUUGGUCAUGUCCAGUGGGCACAGGAUGGUUGGACCAUUGUCGGUACAAAAGCUGACAGCUGGACACACGGACAUCAAGUUCAGCCCCUCCUGUGCGUGCGGAAUCAGGUAGACACGCUGUGACUCCUCUGUAGUCACGUGUCUGUUCUGAAGGUCACCAAGACACCCUCUUCUGUAGCAUCCAGCCAGACCCUGCACUGUCAUUAUCUCCACUGAGAUAAUCAGUCCUCAUCAGCUCACAUCCCUCAGAAGAUUUCAAGUCACCAUCAUAAAGACCCCACAUAGAUGACAGAACUCCAUCUGGCUGGUGAGCAGGGUGAAAAUCUGACAGUGCCGCCAGUAUCUGGUGGGCUCAGUCAGAGCCGAUGUUUGGGUGAGAACUCAUGGCGUCCAAAGAUGGUGGUGCUGCUCUUGGACAGAGCUAUAAAAACCACAUGUGCCAGGUAUCACCCCAGUCCUUCAGCUCU